UCCACCCCUUUUGCCUGGGCCGCAUAAGCCUCCAUCGUUCCCCGCCCUCCGCCGCCUCCAGUCAGCAGUCUCCCUCCUCCGACCAAGGCGCUCUCGCCGGCAGCUAUCACCAGGCGAAGGGGCUCUCUUCUCCUCAUUCCAUCUACCAACUGGCGCGGCGCGAGGAACUAACCGUCAAGGCGUAUUUCCUAUUGGUGGUAAAUAAGGAAGCCCUAGCUUUCCCAGGUUGCAGUAUUGGGUGACAGCUUCCUGUAUCAUCCGGUUGCUUCCCCGCGUGACAGCUACACUCCAUUCUGCUCCGCUAUCGGUCAGCUCCAUUGAGAAUCUAGAUGUGCUUGUCUUCGCGAAUGUUCGAUGGGAAGACACGCUCCUUCUCCAUUACUAGAAAGGCUUUCCCUGAAAGUAAAUACGUCCUCCCUGUCCCAAUCUCCCGCCUAGCCCACCGUCAUCUCCCCCUUCUCCUAUCCUAUGCAACCGUCUCGGGUCUUUUGCUCAAGGUACCCUUGCUCCACUCUGUCCUUCGCUCACUCUCCACAGGUCCUGUCCCAUCUCUCUCCCUCUCAUUCCUCUCCCUACUCCACCGGUCUGGCUACAUGCCCAUCGAUAACUACUCCCUUAGCGCUGCUCUUUCUACCGCCGCCCGCAUGCCCUCCGUUGUUGUUGGUGCCCAGCUCCAUACCCUUUCUGUGAAACUCGGCUUAAGUUCUGAUACCUUUGUCCUUAAUACUCUUAUCAAUAUGUACUCGUCUUGUAGUUAUCCAUCUACUGCAAGAUCAGUUCUUGAUUCUGCUCCCAAAGGAGCCUCUGAUACAGUUUCUUGGAAUACAAUCAUUGCUGGAUACGUACAUGCUGGGCUGCCUAAUAAGGCUUUGCAGGCUUUUAGCCAAAUGGCCAAGGCGCAAGUUAUGCUGGAUGAGGUCACCUUGCUGAAUGCUCUAGUUGCUUGUGCAAGGACAUGCAUGAUGAAGGUCGGAAAGCUCUGUCAUGCACUACUUGUGACAAAUGGUUUUGAGAUUAACUGUUAUAUGGGUUCCUCUUUGAUUAGUAUGUAUGCAAAGUGUGGGCUUGUUGAAGAUGCUCGCAGGGUUUUUGAUGGAUUGCCUGAGAGGAAUGCGGUUUGCUGGACCUCAAUGAUUUCUGGAUAUACACAGUUAGGUCAGUCUAAAGAGGCUGUUAAGCUAUUCAGAGAGAUGCAAAUUGCUGGAGUGAAAGUUGAUGAUGCAACAAUUGCUACUGUUGUAUCUUCAUGCGGCCAGAUGGGAGCACUGGACUUGGGACGGUAUGUCCAUGCUUACUGUGACAUUCAUGGUUUAGGGAAGGAUAUUUCUGUGAAAAAUUCAUUGAUUGACAUGUACUCAAAGUGUGGGGAUAUAAAUAAGGCCUAUGAUAUAUUUUGUGGAAUGGUCAAGCGGGAUGAUUUUUCCUGGACAGUGAUGAUAAUGGGCUUUGCUGCAAAUGGCCUCUCUGGUGAGGCAUUAGAUUUGUUUGCGCAGAUGGAAGAAGAGGGUGAAGUCAUGCCGAAUGAGAUAACUUUCUUGGGUGUCCUAACUUCUUGCAGCCAUGGAGGAUUAGUUGAACAAGGAUACCAUCACUUCCAUCGCAUGUCCAGUAUUUACGGUAUUGCCCCAAGGAUCGAACACUAUGGAUGCAUGGUUGAUCUCCUGGGCCGUGCUAAGUUAUUGGCAGAGGCAGAACAGUUCAUUAAAGAGAUGCCUAUCGCUCCUGAUGUUGUAAUGUGGCGGUCGUUGUUGUUUGCCUGCAGAGCCUGUGGAGAGGUGGGACUUGCAGAGUAUGUAGCAGAAAGGAUCCAAGUAUUGGAGCCAAACAGGUGUGGAGGGGACGUUUUACUUUCUACUGUCUAUGCAACCACAUCAAGGUGGGUUGAUGCAAACAAAGUGAGGACAGGAAUAUACAGUAGCAGAAAGACCAAGCAGCCUGGUUGCUCUUUCAUUGAAGUGGAUGGAUGCGUGCAUGAGUUCUUUGCAGGGGACGAGUCACAUUUUGAAACUGAAGCUAUAUACAACACUCUUUUGGGAAUUAAUGAACUCAGGGUAUCAUGUGCCCGCUCACCUGUAUCACUGUGUUGGUCAUGGGAAUGUAAAACCAGCAGCCUGAAAGUUCCAAACUCCAGAAUUUAGUUAUUUACUUGAACUGGGCCAUGGAUCGGAAGAAUCAAACUCCACAGGGUAAAGUGCUGAUGAUGAGUCCGUGCUUUUUGCCCCAGAAGCUGACUUUUAUGUUUGAAUAGUUGCACAUUGUCAUUUCACUAAAACUCGGGUUGGCUUUAAAAGGUCAAAUUGCACAAGUGAUUGUUGAAUUUCUAGAGGUAGCUGUCAGCUCCAUUGUCUUCCUCAAAGGUUUCUAUCCCACUCGUGCAUUUGAGAGGAGAAGGUACAUGAAUCUAGUUGUCCAGAAAGCUGUGCACCCCCAGCUUGCUGAC